rnacentral:tRNA from 1 species
GUGCUUGUAGCUCAGCUGGAUAGAGCAACGGUUUCCUAAACCGUCGGUCGAGAGUUCGAACCUCUUCAAGCACA